rnacentral:rRNA from 1 species
UACGUAGGGUCCGAGCGUUGUCCGGAAUUAUUGGGCGUAAAGAGCUCGUAGGCGGUUUGUCACGUCUGCUGUGAAAACUGGAGGCUCAACCUCCAGCCUGCAGUGGGUACGGGCAGACUAGAGUGCGGUAGGGGAGAAUGGAAUUCCUGGUGUAGCGGUGGAAUGCGCAGAUAUCAGGAGGAACACCGAUGGCGAAGGCAGUUCUCUGGGCCGUAACUGACGCUGAGGAGCGAAAGCGUGGGGAGCGAACAGG